GGUAAAUCUAUUUGGCCUCAUCAAAUUGAGCAUGGACAGGCAGGGUUCUGCUACCAUGAAUCAAACAAUGUGCCAGCUCGCAUGGCACCAUCUUUUCCAUCUUUGUUACAUCAGAAUUUGGAAAGAAGUACUGCUUCCCAAGCAUUUUCCAUAUGUGUGACCAAAAGGAGAUCCAAAAACGAGCCGACGUCCGUCCACUCUCAGCUUUUCCGAAUUCCAGCCAACUCGAACUGCCCCGUGGCUUCCCCUUGGCCAUCCAACUCAUCUGUCAUCUUGUUUUAGGUUGACAGUGGUAUGAAAACCCUUGGUUGACAGCUAGCCAUAGCCAUGUUUCAGAUAAGUCCAAGACUCCAAACUG
rnacentral:lncRNA from 1 species